GACGCGGUAGCUCAAUGGUUAAGGGCGACGGCAUCAAAACGAUAGAGGAAGGGGCCCGGGUUCAAUUCCCGGGCAGUGUCA
rfam:Aphanomyces astaci strain APO3 cont1.3121, whole genome shotgun sequence.